GCCACGAUUGCAUCUGCUCCAACAGCAUGGUGGGGAUGAGCCUCUACCUCCAAAGGGAGACUGCGUUCCAGCACACAGAAUAGGACCCUUGGGAGACCUAGGCAGUGGUGUCACCAAAGAUAAACCAAAUGAGCUGAAGCAGCUGAUAUGAGGUCAAGAGCAAGUAACAAAUCUUGCUGGUCAGCACUUAGGGACGGUCCCUGCUCUCACAGUCUUCCCUGAAGAAUCUAAUCCACAGUGACUCUGGUACAUAAAGGCUAAUAAACACUAUAAUCCCAGUAUGAACAGA